rnacentral:rRNA from 1 species
AAUAAGCACCGGCUAACUCUGUGCCAGCAGCCGCGGUAAUACAGAGGGUGCGAGCGUUAAUCGGAUUUACUGGGCGUAAAGCGUGCGUAGGCGGCUUAUUAAGUCGGAUGUGAAAUCCCCGAGCUUAACUUGGGAAUUGCAUUCGAUACUGGUGAGCUAGAGUAUGGGAGAGGAUGGUAGAAUUCCAGGUGUAGCGGUGAAAUGCGUAGAGAUCUGGAGGAAUACCGAUGGCGAAGGCAGCCAUCUGGCCUAAUACUGACGCUGAGGUACGAAAGCAUGGGGAGCAAACAGGAUUAGAUACCCUGGUAGUCCAUGCCGUAAACGAUGUCUACUAGCCGUUGGGGCCUUUGAGGCUUUAGUGGCGCAGCUAACGCGAUAAGUAGACCGCCUGGGGAGUACGGUCGCAAGACUAAAACUCAAAUGAAUUGACGGGGGCCCGCACAAGCGGUGGAGCAUGUGGUUUAAUUCGAUGCAACGCGAAGAACCUUACCUGGCCUUGACAUACUAGAAACUUUCCAGAGAUGGAUUGGUGCCUUCGGGAAUCUAGAUACAGGUGCUGCAUGGCUGUCGUCAGCUCGUGUCGUGAGAUGUUGGGUUAAGUCCCGCAACGAGCGCAACCCUUUUCCUUACUUGCCAGCAUUUCGGAUGGGAACUUUAAGGAUACUGCCAGUGACAAACUGGAGGAAGGCGGGGACGACGUCAAGUCAUCAUGGCCCUUACGGCCAGGGCUACACACGUGCUACAAUGGUCGGUACAAAGGGUUGCUACACAGCGAUGUGAUGCUAAUCUCAAAAAGCCGAUCGUAGUCCGGAUUGGAGUCUGCAACUCGACUCCAUGAAGUCGGAAUCGCUA